CGCUUCACUUGUGGGACGUAACCGCAGGAGUGAGGGGAUAAGCGUACUGUGGGGAAGAUGCUGAGAUACGCAAAGGGGUGGCGAAGAUAGUGCCCUAGCAUCGGAAGACUGUCGGGU
rnacentral:ncRNA from 1 species